GAUGAACGCUGGCGGCGUGCUUAACACAUGCAAGUCGAACGAUGAAGCCCAGCUUGCUGGGUGGAUUAGUGGCGAACGGGUGAGUAACACGUGAGUAACCUGCCCUUAACUCUGGGAUAAGCCUGGGAAACUCGGUCUAAUACCGGAUAGGAGCGUCCACCGCAUGGUGGGUGUUGGAAAGAUUUAUCGGUUUUGGAUGGACUCGCGGCCUAUCAGCUUGUUGGUGAGGUAAUGGCUCACCAAGGCGACGACGGGUAGCCGGCCUGAGAGGGUGACCGGCCACACUGGGACUGAGACACGGCCCAGACUCCUACGGGAGGCAGCAGUGGGGAAUAUUGCACAAUGGGCGCAAGCCUGAUGCAGCGACGCCGCGUGAGGGAUGACGGCCUUCGGGUUGUAAACCUCUUUCAGUAGGGAAGAAGCGAAAGUGACGGUACCUGCAGAAGAAGCACCGGCUAACUACGU
rnacentral:rRNA from 1 species